UACGGAGGGUGCGAGCGUUGUUCGGAAUCACUGGGCGUAAAGGGCGUGUAGGCGGUCUGUUAAGUCUGAUGUGAAAAGCCCGGGGCUCACCCCCCGGAAGUGCAUUGGAUACUGGCGGACUCGAGUCUCGGAGAGGAGGGUGGGAAUUCCUGGUGUAGCGGUGGAAAUGACGUAGAUAUCAGGAGGAACACCGGUGGCGAAGGCGGCCCUCUGGACGAUGACUGACGCUGAGACGCGAAAGCGUGGGGAGCAAACAGG
rnacentral:rRNA from 1 species